AAAGUCAAACAAAUCUGCCGAAGUAUGGGGCGAUGAUUGUUCUGGUUACCAACCUUCAGCCCUUCUAUAAACCCUCAACUCCUCACAAGUUGAAUCCCUUUAUGAUCUGUUCUGCUUGUUGAAUCAGCUGCUGCACCACCGUCUCACACCACCGUGACCGCGAUUGCCGCCGCAACCACCGCGAUCGCCACCACACCUGGUUCGAAGCUUUUGAUUAGCGUCUCCGACUCACGAACUGCGACCAUUGCUAUUCGUUGCCGGCCAUAACCAUCGCCACCAUCAUUGGUCCGGGAUCCAAAUCGGGGUGGAGUCACGCUACUCCCGUUCCGGUCAGUUUGUUUAGCGAAUCAAAUACCAAAAUCGGCUUAUUCUUUUGAAUACUACUUCUGAAAAACGUGAUUUCAAAGUUUAUUGAUUCUUGUUCGUGAUCGACGCAUCAAGUUGUCGCUUUAACUCGAUUCCGAUUGAUAGUUCGAUAGCUCUAGUCGGUUGUCUUUGAUAAACUCCCAUCAGCUUCUAAGGUAAUUUGGGAAACGCGGGGAAUAAGUGAAGAGUGUCGUGAAGAUAAAGAUUUAUUGUAUUUCGAUAAUGAAAAAAAAUGUAAUUAGGAUCUUUUGUUUUCAACGUUAUGGAUUGGUUUUAGUUUUGAUAUCUGUAUGAGUGACACGUCAGCGUGUUCAGGUUAGGGUGUUACAUUCUGCCAUUAGAUCAAGAAGAUGGAUGGAUGAGA